CUUAACAAUUAAUAUUUGAAAGCUUUAUAUAUACAGUUUAACCAGCAUAUGUGCGGCCUCAGGAACCCGUCAACCGGACUGGACAGGUCAACACCGUUGACUUUGAUAACACGCAUUCUUUGGGAAAAUCCGAGCGAGGAGAGGAGUUUUGCAACUUGACCAACGGCUCACAACCGACGAAGCCACUUCUAGUGUGGUGGCUCAAUACGCAGACGACAAUGACUUAUUCAAAGUGGGAGCCGUUAGUGUCCUCACAGGUGAAGACGGUGAGAUCAGAACAAAUUGUUGGGAAUUCAACGAUAGUUAAAUUUGUUUUUUUUGUUUUUUCAUAUAAUCUGAUUCUUGAUUGUUUGUUCGUGUGUGUUUUUUCCACCCCGAUUAUUGUCAAUAAGUCCAUAUGUUAUGUUGGUUCAGAUUUGGGUGGC